AUUGAACGCUGGCGGCAGGCCUAACACAUGCAAGUCGAACGAGUGGCGGACUGGUGAGUAAUGUCUGGGAAACUGCCUGAUGGAGGGGGAUAACUACUGGAAACGGUAGCUAAUACAGCAUACCAUCAGAUGUGCCCAGAUGGGAUUAGCUAGUUGGUGGGGUAACGGCUCAACAAGGAGACGAUCCCUAGCUGGUCUGAGAGGAUGACCAGCCACACGGGAACUGAGACACGGUCCAGACGCCUACGGGAGGAAGCAGUGGGGAACAUUGCACAAUGGGCGCAAGCCUGCUGCAGCCAUGCCGCGUGUAUGAAGAAGGCCUUCGGGUUGUAAAGUACUUUCAUCGGGGAAGCGUUACCCAAAGAAGAAGCACCGGCUAACUCCGUGCAAGCAGCCGCGGUAAUAC
rnacentral:rRNA from 1 species